UGAAGCGGCAAAAGCUCAAAUUUGAAAUCUGGUACCUUCGGUGCCCGAGUUGUAAUUUGGAGAGGGCAACUUUGGGGCCGUUCCUUGUCUAUGUUCCUUGGAACAGGACGUCAUAGAGGGUGAGAAUCCCGUGUGGCGAGGAGUGCGGUUCUUUGUAAAGUGCCUUCGAAGAGUCGAGUUGUUUGGGAAUGCAGCUCUAAGUGGGUGGUAAAUUCCAUCUAAAGCUAAAUAUUGGCGAGAGACCGAUAGCGAACAAGUACAGUGAUGGAAAGAUGAAAAGAACUUUGAAAAGAGAGUGAAAAAGUACGUGAAAUUGUUGAAAGGGAAGGGCAUUUGAUCAGACAUGGUGUUUUGUGCCCUCUGCUCCUUGUGGGUAGGGGAAUCUCGCAUUUCACUGGGCCAGCAUCAGUUUUGGUGGCAGGAUAAAUCCAUAGGAAUGUAGCUUGCCUCGGUAAGUAUUAUAGCCUGUGGGAAUACUGCCAGCUGGGACUGAGGACUGCGACGUAA
rnacentral:rRNA from 1 species